UACGUAGGGGCGAGCGUUGUCCGGAGUUACUGGGCGUAAAGGGCACGCAGGCGGUGCUGCGCGUUUGCGUGACAGCGGAGGGCUUACCUCUCCGAGCAUGCGAAAGACGGCAGGACUCGAGGGCCAGAGAGGGACACGGGAAUUCCGGGUGGAGUGGUGAAAGUGCGAUGAGAGAUCCGGAGGAACACCGAGGGCGAAGGCGAGUGCCUGGCUGGCGACUGACGCUGAGGUGACGGAAAGCCAGGGAGGCGAAACGGG
rnacentral:rRNA from 1 species